rnacentral:rRNA from 1 species
CCUACGGGUGGCUGCAGUGAGGAAUAUUGGUCAAUGGACGAGAGUCUGAACCAGCCAAGUAGCGUGAAGGAUGACUGCCCUCUGGGCUGUAAACUUCUUUUAUAUGGGAAUAAAAUGUUUCACGUGUGGGAUUUUGUAUGUACCAUAUGAAUAAGGAUCGGCUAACUCCGUGCCAGCAGCCGCGGUACUACGGAGGGUCCGAGCGUUAUCCGGAUUUAUUGGGUGUAAAGGGAGCGUAGGUGGUUUGUUAAGUCAGGUGUGAAAGUUGGGGGCUCAACCGGAAAACUGCAGUUGAAACUGGCAGUCUUGAGUACAGUAGAGGUGAGUGGAAUUCGAGGUGUAGCGGUGAAAUGCGUAGAUAUCACGAAGAACACCGAUGGCGAAGGCAGCUCACUGGACUGCAACUGACACUGAGGCGCGAAAGUGUGGGUAGCAAACAGGAUUAGAUACCCGUGUAGUC